rnacentral:rRNA from 1 species
UACCGAGGGUGCCAGCGUUAUUCGGAAUUAUUGGGCGUAAAGCGCGUGUAGGCGGCCUUGGGAGUCGGCCGUGAAAUCCCUCGGCUUAACUGAGGACGUGCGGAAGAAACUGCAAGGCUCGAGUCCGGGAGAGGGGGGUGGAAUUCCCAGUGUAGCGGUGAAAUGCGUAGAUAUUGGGAGGAACACCGGUGGCGAAGGCGGCCCCCUGGACCGGUACUGACGCUGAGGCGCGAAAGCGUGGGUAGCAAACGGG